UACGAAGGGGGCUAGCGUUGCUCGGAAUCACUGGGCGUAAAGCGCACGUAGGCGGCUUGUUAAGUCAGACGUGAAAUCCCUCGGCUUAACCGGGGAACUGCGUCUGAUACUGGAUGGCUUGAGGUUGGGAGAGGGAUGCGGAAUUCCAGGUGUAGCGGUGAAAUGCGUAGAUAUCUGGAGGAACACCGGUGGCGAAGGCGGCAUCCUGGACCAAUUCUGACGCUGAGGAGCGAAAGCCAGGGGAGCAAACGGG
rnacentral:rRNA from 1 species